UACAGAGGUCUCAAGCGUUGUUCGGAUUCAUUGGGCGUAAAGGGUGCGUAGGUGGCGCGCUAAGUCAGGUGUGAAAUUUCGGAGCUUAACUCCGAAACUGCAUUUGAUACUGGUGUGCUUGAGGACUGGAGAGGAGACUGGAAUUCAUGGUGUAGCAGUGAAAAUGCGUAGAGAUCAUGAGGAAGACCAGUGGCGAAGGCGGGUCUCUGGACAGUUCCUGACACUGAGGCACGAAGGCCAGGGGAGCAAACGGGG
rnacentral:rRNA from 1 species